CGGUUUCAUAAAUAUAGUUUUACAAAUUGUUUAACUUAUAAAAUAAUAUGAUGGGCUUAAACCUGACAAACUCGCUGAAUUGAGAGAAUGAAAUAUAUAAUUGAAUAUAUGUUUAUAUCCAAUUGAACAUUGCCUGAUUCAAGACAAGACAUCUUUUUCUAUCUUGAUGGAGUCAUCCUAACUAAAUAAAUAUUGUUAUUAUAAUACUUUCAAAUGGCUUAUUAUUUACACAUUAUAAAUUUGAGAAACACCUCUGCUUUUUCUUUAAAAUUUUGAAUAAUACAAUUCAUGAACAUAAUGAGGAAAAAAUUUAAUUAUAAUAAAUAUCUACUAGUGAUAUGGCAUUAUUAUUAAUUGUAAAUAUGAUAUAUUGGGGAAUUAUGUUUUUGUUAGACAGGCCUAAAUAAUUAAUUGAAUAUUAUUGAACCCUGUGCAAUUAUUUGUAGGUACACUGAAAUCUUCAAUGAGCCAAAGUAGUUAAUCUAUAAUAAAUUAUAAACUCAAUAUCUAUGAAGUCGGUAGAAGGGCAUUGCCGUCUUGUUUCUCAUCUCCGUCGAUAUUUUAAUAAUUUAUUUAUUAUCACACUCUCUAAACUCAAAGUACCCCAAAAUAU